AUCGCUUCUCGGCCUUUUGGCUAAGAUCAAGUGUAGUAUCUGUUCUUAUCAGUUUAAUAUCUGAUACGUCCCCCAUCCAGGGAACUACAUAUUAAAUGGAUUUUUAGAUCACGGAGCUGGAGCCGGGGCUUGCUCCGUCCAUUCCACGCAUCGGCCUGGUAUUGCAGUGUCUCCAGGAACGGUGUGCUUUCC